UGAGCAAUCUGCCCUUCACAUCGGAAUAACCAUUGGAAACGAUGGCUAAUACCGAAUAUGACUUCGGAUCGCAUGAUCUGAAGUGGAAAGCUCCGGCGGUGAAGGAUGAGCUCGCGGCCUAUCAGCUUGUUGGUGUGGUAAUGGCCCACAAGGCGACGACGGGUAGCCGGCCUGAGAGGGUCGACCCGGCCACACGUGGGACUGACGACACGGCCCAGAUCCGUAACGGGG
rnacentral:rRNA from 1 species